AUUAUAAGGCCAUAAGGUAUUGGCUCACAUAAUUAUGAAGGCUGGGAAGUCCCAUGAUCUGUCAUCUGCAAGCUAGAGACCUAAGAAAGCCAGUGUGUAGCUCCAAAACCGAAAAGCAGGAGAGCCCAUGGUGUACAUUUCCCUUCUAAGUGUGGAGGCCCGAGAACCAGGAGCACCAAGGGCAGAAGAUUGAUGUCUCAGGUCAGCCAAUCAGGUCAACAUUGGUUUCAACCUUCCUCUGCCUUCCUUGUUUUGCUGAGCCCAUCAGUGGAUUGGAUGAUGCCCACCCACAAUGGGAAGGGCCACCUGCUUUACUCAGACCAUGGAUUCAAAUGCUUACAUUUUUCAGAAACAUCCUCACAGACGCACCCAGAAAUCACGUCUAGCCCGGGUACCCUCUUGCCAGGUCAAGCUGACACAGAAAUUAACCAUCACACCUGGACUUUCCAGAAAUAUAAGUCAUGAAAGGUUGCCUCAUUGACCAAGAUAGCUGCUUGAGCACCAGCUACCACUUCAGUCUUCCAUGAAGAUUGGAAAGCAACAGAAAAGCCUUUCCUCUCUGUCUCCAUUUGAAGGAGCUUUUCUAGAAAUCCUUCUAUAUCACUUCCACUUACAUUUCAAUUUCCCAAACUUAAUAACAUGGUCAUACCUAGCUAUGAAAAA